UCUCUUAUAGUGUAGUGGUUUAGCACGUGGGAUUUUGAUGAAAAAUAUUCAAUCAAUAUUCCCGAGUCCCCGGUUCGAACCCGGGUAAGAGAU